CCUCUGCUAUUCUGGGUUGUUUUACAAGGUUUUAUAUUCCCUUUAGUGGAUGCUGACAAAGGAGUAUACGUGUCACUGGGGACAGCAAGGAGUGGUCGUAGGCUCAUUAUGGAUGUGAAAAAUUUGGACUCUUGCAAAGCCAAGUCCAGGAUCUAAAGCUCACCAUGAUUUGUGGUCCUCCUGAAAAUAGGGCUCUUGCUGCGUUGUGCUGGUGUAUUCAAGCAGGUGGCAAUCUGGAGUGACAGAUUUACUGGGAGAGCCCCCGGGGAGAAGUUCAUUUGUUACACAGUGACAGCGAACUUGUGGGACCAAACAGAGCAUCACUCUGAGGAAAAGGCAGGCUCAUGAGGAAGCAAUGAACUUCCCACAUUCAGAGACUUGUACACCUGGUGCUGGAACAGGGACAACCAAAAGGGGAGCUUGGCAAAGAGCGGAGCCAACAGGUCUCCUGACAACCUGCUUCCAACCAAUGCCUCCUCUGCACACUGGACUCGUGCAUCUCUCAGCCCAGCAGAUCACCUCUAACAGCCCACCUCAACAACAGGCGAUUACUGGGAAGGCAAGUAGUGAAUGACAUCCUCCACUGUAUACUUCAUCUGCAGAUCAGUGUAGCAGAUGGGAAAAGAAAAUGCAUUCACUACAGAGAUGUAGCAGAGCUUCCCAGAUCCCUGCUGCACGGGGCAAUGUACUAAAGGCCAGGUAUCUGCAGACAAAGAAGUGAUGAAUGCUGCCUCCCAUCCAGUAUUUUCCCUUUCAGAGUAAUGAGACUCAAUGCCCCAUCCCAAUACUAGUGCUCUCUACAUUAUUAGAUGCAAAUACACUGACAUUUUUCCUUACUGCCUGAUGUAUUCCUAUCGCUGUUGCUGCCUGCUACAUGCAAAAAUAAAUGUUAGCAUAUUUGCUAGGGUAUAAGGGCU
rnacentral:lncRNA from 1 species